rnacentral:rRNA from 1 species
UACGUAGGUGGCAAGCGUUGUCCGGAUUUAUUGGGUUUAAAGGGUGCGUAGGCGGCCUAUUAAGUCAGGGGUGAAAUACGGUGGCUCAACCAUCGCAGUGCCUUUGAUACUGAUGGGCUUGAAUCCAUUUGAAGUGGGCGGAAUAAGACAAGUAGCGGUGAAAUGCAUAGAUAUGUCUUAGAACUCCGAUUGCGAAGGCAGCUCACUAAGCUGGUAUUGACGCUGAUGCACGAAAGCGUGGGGAUCGAACAGG